UUACGGGUAGAUCUCCCACCCUUUGAGUACUAUACUUUUGUUGCUUUGGCAGGCCGCUUCGGCUACCGGCUUCGGCUGGUGAGUGCCUGCCAGAGAACCCCAAAUUCUGAAUUAUAGUGUCGUCUGAGAACUAUAUAAUAGUUAAAACUUUCAACAACGGAUCUCUUGGUUCUGGCAUCGAUGAAGAACGCAGCGAAAUGCGAUAAGUAAUGUGAAUUGCAGAAUUCAGUGAAUCAUCGAAUCUUUGAACGCAUCUUGCGCUCCUUGGUAUUCCGAGGAGCAUGCCUGUUUGAGUGUCAUCAAGUUCUCAACCAUACCUCGGUGUGGCUUGGAUUUGGGGGUUUUUGCAGGCUUCAAAGAAAGUCGGCUCCCCUGAAAAGCAUUAGCGGUGUCCGAGUACCUUUGGUGUGAUAACUAUCUAUGCCUUGGUGUAUAUGAUGCAUGCUGCUUCUGAACUUCAUUUUUAUUGACAAAUUUGACCUCAAAUCAGGUAGGAUUACCCGCUGAGCUUAAGCAUAUCAAUAGACGGAGGAA
rnacentral:rRNA from 1 species